rnacentral:rRNA from 1 species
AACGAACGCUGGCGGCAGGCUUAACACAUGCAAGUCGAGCGCCUCGCAAGAGGAGCGGCAGACGGGUGAGUAACGCGUGGGAACGUACCCUUAUCUUCGGAAUAGCUCUGGGAAACUGGAAGUAAUACCGAAUGUGCCCUUAGGGGGAAAGAUUUAUCGGAUAAGGAUCGGCCCGCGUUGGAUUAGCUAGUUGGUGGGGUAAAGGCCUACCAAGGCGACGAUCCAUAGCUGGUCCGAGAGGAUGAUCAGCCACAUUGGGACUGAGACACGGCCCAAACUCCUACGGGAGGCAGCAGUGGGGAAUAUUGGACAAUGGGCGCAAGCCUGAUCCAGCCAUGCCGCGUGAGUGAUGAAGGCCUUAGGGUUGUAAAGCUCUUUCACCGGAGAAGAUAAUGACGGUAUCCGGAGAAGAAGCCCCGGCUAACUUCGUG